GAGCUUGCUCCUUUGACGUUAGCGGCGGACGGGUGAGUAACACGUGGGCAACCUACCUUAUAGUUUGGGAUAACUCCGGGAAACCGGGGCUAAUACCGAAUAAUCUAUUUUACUUCAUGGUGAAAUACUGAAAGACGGUUUCGGCUGUCGCUAUAAGAUGGGCCCGCGGCGCAUUAGCUAGUUGGUGAGGUAACGGCUCACCAAGGCGACGAUGCGUAGCCGACCUGAGAGGGUGAUCGGCCACACUGGGACUGAGACACGGCCCAGACUCCUACGGGAGGCAGCAGUAGGGAAUCUUCCACAAUGGGCGAAAGCCUGAUGGAGCAACGCCGCGUGAGUGAAGAAGGUUUUCGGAUCGUAAAACUCUGUUGUAAGGGAAGAACAAGUACAGUAGUAACUGGCUGUACCUUGACGGUACCUUAUUAGAAAGCCACGGCUAACUACGUGCCAGCAGCCGCGGUAAUACGUAGGUGGCAAGCGUUGUCCGGAAUUAUUGGGCGUAAAGCGCGCGCAGGCGGUCCUUUAAGUCUGAUGUGAAAGCCCACGGCUCAACCGUGGAGGGUCAUUGGAAACUGGGGGACUUGAGUGCAGAAGAGGAAAGUGGAAUUCCAAGUGUAGCGGUGAAAUGCGUAGAGAUUUGGAGGA
rnacentral:rRNA from 1 species